rnacentral:rRNA from 1 species
AAGGCGACGACGGGUAGCCGGCCUGAGAGGGCGACCGGCCACACUGGGACUGAGACACGGCCCAGACUCCUACGGGAGGCAGCAGUGGGGAAUAUUGCACAAUGGGCGGAAGCCUGAUGCAGCGACGCCGCGUGAGGGAUGACGGCCUUCGGGUUGUAAACCUCUUUCAGCAGGGAAGAAGCGAAAGUGACGGUACCUGCAGAAGAAGCGCCGGCUAACUACGUGCCAGCAGCCGCGGUAAUACGUAGGGCGCAAGCGUUGUCCGGAAUUAUUGGGCGUAAAGAGCUCGUAGGCGGCUUGUCGCGUCGGAUGUGAAAGCCCGGGGCUUAACCCCGGGUCUGCAUUCGAUACGGGCAGGCUAGAGUUCGGUAGGGGAGAUCGGAAUUCCUGGUGUAGCGGUGAAAUGCGCAGAUAUCAGGAGGAACACCGGUGGCGAAGGCGGAUCUCUGGGCCGAUACUGACGCUGAGGAGCGAAAGCGUGGGGAGCGAACAGGAUUAGAUACCCUGGUAGUCCACGCCGUAAACGGUGGGAACUAGGUGUUGGCGACAUUCCACGUCGUCGGUGCCGCAGCUAACGCAUUAAGUUCCCCGCCUGG